rnacentral:rRNA from 1 species
UACAGAGGAUUCAAGCGUUAUCCGGAAUUAUUGGGCGUACAGCGUCUGUAGGUGGCUUUUUAAGUCCGCCGUCAAAUCCCAGGGCUCAACUCUGGACAGGCGGUGGAAACUACCAAGCUCGAGUACGGUAGGGGCAGAGGGAAUUUCCGGUGGAGCGGUGAAAUGCGUAGAGAUCGGAAAGAACACCAACGGCGAAAGCACUCUGCUGGGCCGACACUGACACUGAGAGACGAAAGCUAGGGGAGCGAAUGGG